UUGCGGAUGAUGAACAGAUCAUCGUCCGCCCCACCUGCUUGACAGGCGUGCCGGUAGUCGCUGAGCCAAACCCCAGGGUUCGUUUCCCCCGAGUACUUGGCUACAUUUGUCGGUUGCCUGAAGUGUGGCGGAAAAGGCGCGUUCAAGAUGCGCGCAGAGAAGGCCCGGGGCCCAGCCGGGCCGGGGCUUGGGCUACGGUCUUCACCGCUGUCGUAGCGCCCGCCCCGGUGAACGUGAUAGCCAUGAUCUACCCCGUCCUCCCUAUCCGCGCGGGAGCGCCUCUGCGCGUUCAGGGUGUCGCGGGCGUCGCGGACGGGGCCGACGCGUUGAUGAACGGAUCGAGCCCCACCUCCCGCGGGUGGUGGUGUCCGCCGGGUGGACGCGACCUGGUUUGUCCUAGGAGGGGGCUGGUGGAC
rnacentral:lncRNA from 1 species